rfam:TPA: Bos taurus chromosome 15, whole genome shotgun sequence.
UCCCUAAUAGCUCAGGUGGUAAAGCAUCCGCCUGCAAUGCGGGAGACCCGGGUUCGAUCCCUGGAUUGGGAA